CGAAGCCUGUGGUUCACAACAGAAGCAACAAUAUAAUAUUGGUAAGACAUCUAUCUAGAAGUCCAUUAACAAUGAAUUUAAUAUAUCUAUAUAUAUAUAUAUAUAUAUAUCAUAGAUGAGAUUAACAAUACAACAUUCAUAAUCUAAUGUAAAGAUGACUGAUGCUCUUGAUGUCGCAGAACAGCUACAUGCCCCAUAUCUCUCCUCUCUAACUGAACCUUCAUGACAACAUGGUUGAAUGUGGUGUUAAUCUCUUACUGACCUACAGUUUACAUAAAUACUAUAGAAUUAAUGUACAGCAGUGGAGGCUGCUGAGGGGAGGACGGCUCAUAAUAAUAGCUGGAACUGAGCGAAUGGAAUAGCACCAAACAAUGGAAACCAUGUAUUUGAUACCAUUACACACAUUCUGCUCAAGCCAUUGCCACAAGCCUGUCCUCCCCAAUUAAAGUGCCACCAACCUCCUGUGAUGUACAUGUCACUGCCAAAAUAAAGGAAACACUUUAGCAAAUGAGGGAUGCGAAGUCUAUUGAAAGCAGGUGCUUCCACACAGGUGUGGUUCCUGAGUUAAUUCAGUAAUUAACAUCCCAUCGUGCUUAGAGUCAUGUAUAAAAAUGCUUAUUAUUUUUGCUACCAUGGCUAGAAGAAGUGACUUUGACGGACGGGUCUCAAAGGAGCAUAGGCAGUUUUAAAGGGCCUGUGCGUUUCCUUUAUCUUGACAGUUACAUGUAUAAUAUUGUCUACUUUACUCUAUAACACGUAAAGGCCUGUGUUACCAUCUACGUGGUUGAAGGUGGUGUUCCCUGAGGCAUGGUGAUGCUGGGCAGCAUGACGAAGCCGAACAUGAGCAGGAACAUGAUGAAGUUGAGCAGCACCAGGAAACGCAGGAAGGAGAAGUAGGACAGGAUCCCUGUGCCAAACAUCCCUGUGAUGGGACACAGAGAAGGGAAAGGAUGAGUGAUUUAGAUACCAUCCCGGAUCUCAAAGAGAUCAACAUCAACGCACUCAUAUCUUUCAAUGCUUCCAACAGAAGACACACAAAGCUCCAGGUUGCUGAGCAUCUCAAACCCAUCCUCCGUUAGCCUCCUCAGGGUCCGUCUGGUGCCCUGUCUCCACUGGCUCCAACUGCUCAGAUCCUUGGCCUGCUCCAAACGCUGGUCCCUGUCAGAUGAUCAAUCAGUCAAUAUAUUAAGCAAUCAAUCAGUUUGGGCAGUUCCCUGACUGGUCUCUGUAGGGUCUGAGUCCUGUGUUUCUCCUCAUGCUGCCUGGCCAAUGUGGUCUGUCCCCAUUUCCCACUGCUGGAGGAGCCCAGCCUGGUCCGUGAGCUGUCAC